rnacentral:rRNA from 1 species
AUUGAACGCUGGCGGCAGGCUUAAUACAUGCAAGUCGAGCGGGGGAAGGUAGCUUGCUACCGGACCUAGCGGCGGACGGGUGAGUAAUGCUUAGGAAUCUGCCUAUUAGUGGGGGACAACAUCUCGAAAGGGAUGCUAAUACCGCAUACGUCCUACGGGAGAAAGCAGGGGAUCUUCGGACCUUGCGCUAAUAGAUGAGCCUAAGUCGGAUUAGCUAGUUGGUGGGGUAAAGGCCUACCAAGGCGACGAUCUGUGGCGGGUCUGAGAGGAUGGUCCGCCACACUGGGACUGAGACACGGCCCAGACUCCUACGGGAGGCAGCAGUGGGGGAUAUUGGACAAUGGGGGGAACCCUGAUCCAGCCAUGCCGCGUGUGUGAAGAAGGCCUUAUGGUUGUAAAGCACUUUAAGCGAGGAGGAGGCUACUUUAGUUAAUACCUAGAGAUAGUGGACGUUACUCGCAGAAUAAGCACCGGCUAACUCUGUGCCAGCAGCCGCCGCCG